rnacentral:lncRNA from 12 species
AUCAUUUAUGUGAUCUUCCUCUUGCUUUUUCUUGUUGUUGUUUUUGUUGUGUGCUUAAGUAAUUAAACUAACCUUCCACUGCUUUUGUAUUCUGUCUGAGAAAUCCAGGAGGUGAAUUUCUCUCCAUUUGUGGACUCGGUGACCUCCACAUUCUGAACAAUGCCUGAAAUAAAAGUUUGUACUGCUGUCCUAGAGGGAAGAAAAGAUGAGUCUGAGAAAAAGCAAAAUGAGCAACG